GAUUAACGCUAGCGGCAGGCCUAAUACAUGCAAGUCGAACGGGAUUCAAAGUAGCAAUAUUUUGAUGAGAGUGGCGCACGGGUGAGUAACACGUAUGCAAUUUACCUUUAACUGGGGGAUAGCCCUCCGAAAGGAGGAUUAAUACCGCAUAAUAUAUUGAAAUGGCAUCAUUUUAAUAUUAAACCUACGGGGGUUAAAGAUGAGCAUGCAUCCGAUUAGCUAGUUGGUGUGGUAACGGCUCACCAAGGCAACGAUCGGUAGGGGUCUGAGAGGAUGAUCCCCCACACUGGUACUGAGACACGGACCAGACUCCUACGGGAGGCAGCAGUAAGAAUAUUGGACAAUGGAGGCAACUCUGAUCCAGCCAUGCCGCGUGAAGGAUUAAGGCCCUAUGGGGUUGUAAAACUUCUUUUAAGACGGGACAAAACCCCUUUACGUCGUAAAGGGUUGAUGGUACUGUCAGAAUAAGCAUCGGCUAACUUCGUGCCAGCAGCCGCGGUAAAACGUCA
rnacentral:rRNA from 1 species